AGUGGGAUUGCUGGAUUAUAUGGGGAAAGUAUAUCUAGUUUUGUAAGAGACUACCAGUCCAUUUUCCAAAGUGGCUGUACUACUUUUCAUUUCCACUGGCAAU
rnacentral:pre_miRNA from 1 species